CUUUUUCAAACGUCAGUUUUAAUUCAUUGUUUGGAACCAGCAAGUACCCAACAGUUUAGUCUAAACCUAAGUUUUAACCAAGAAAGUAUUCAUUGUAUGUGCUACCAAGGAAAUACGGUGGUUUGUCAGAUAGCACACUAACUAGCGUCAGCAUCACUAAUGGUGACAGACGGUUGCAAAGCUCUAGCAAAGGACUCCCCAGUGAGUCAGAGGCCUAUCAUCCAACUGCCUGCUUACCAGCUUUCCUUCCUGUGAGUCACUUUAAGGAACGCAACUUCUUUCUGUUUUCACCUUUCCUCUGCUCCAAUCAGUGGCUGUUAAAGCCACAUUAUAAUUCUGCGAAGUAUUAAUAGAUAUGACUGGGUCUCUCCAGGACAGCUCUUAGAAUGGAAGUAGGAGAAUGGACAUAAAAGAAGAUGCUCAUUUACCAAAUUGGAGAUGUCCCCUGCUAUUCUUUCUCUGAGAGCUGUUGACCAUGAGAAUGGACUUUGUACAAACUCUGUUUUAGUAGAUGUGGCAGUCAUCUCUCCUCCCCCAUGGUUGCUCCAUUUUCAUCCCCAUCAGCAGUGUCUAUGGAAGAGUUCCAGCUUCCACAAGCUCACCAACACCAGCUAGAACUCCAGUCUCUGGACCGGCACUGCCCUCAUCCAGGAUAGCACUUCUCACCUCACCUCAGUUAAGCCUUUCAGGAAACACCAUCAUGGACACACUGCAGAGGUGAGUUUGGAUAUUUUGGACCAGCAAGAUGGACCAGUGAGUAAAGGUACUUGCUGCCAAGCCUGAGGACCUGAGUUUGAUUCCCCAGGAACCAUACAGUGGAAGGAGAGAAUUGAUUCCCACAAACUGUCCUCUGACCUCCACAUGGACACUGUGAUACAUGAUG